GCCUCGGUAGCUCAAUAGGAUAGAGCAAAGCACUCCUAACGCUUAGGUUGAGAGUUCGAGUCCCUCCCGGGGCACAA
rnacentral:tRNA from 2 species